rnacentral:rRNA from 1 species
CCUACGGGAGGCAGCAGUGAGGAAUAUUGGUCAAUGGACGCAAGUCUGAACCAGCCAUGCCGCGUGCAGGAAGACGGCCCUAUGAGUUGUAAACUGCUUUUGUACGAGGGUAAACGCAGAUACGCGUAUCUGUCUGAAAGUAUCGUACGAAUAAGGAUCGGCUAACUCCGUGCCAGCAGCCGCGGUAAUACGGAGGAUUCAAGCGUUAUCCGGAUUUAUUGGGUGUAAAGGGUGCGUAGGCGGUCGGAUAAGUUAGCGGUGAAAUCCCGAGGCUCAACUUCGGAAUUGCCUCUGAUACUGUUCGGCUAGAGAGUAGGUGAGGUAGGCGGAAUGUAUGGUGUAGCGGUGAAAUGCUUAGAGAUCAUACAGAACACCGAUUGCGAAGGCAGCUUACC